rnacentral:rRNA from 1 species
UACAGAGGGGGCAAGCGUUGUUCGGAAUUACUGGGCGUAAAGGGCGCGUAGGCGGCCUUCUAAGUCGAACGUGAAAUCCCUGGGCUCAACCCAGGAACUGCGUCCGAUACUGGAAGGCUUGAAUCCGGGAGAGGGAUGCGGAAUUCCAGGUGUAGCGGUGAAAUGCGUAGAUAUCUGGAGGAACACCGGUGGCGAAGGCGGCAUCCUGGACCGGCAUUGACGCUGAGGCGCGAAAGCCAGGGGAGCAAACGGGG